rnacentral:rRNA from 1 species
CAGUAGCCACGGUAAUACGUAGGGGGCAAGCGUUAUCCGGAAUUACUGGGUGUAAAGGGAGCGUAGACGGUUAAACAAGUCUGAAGUGAAAUGCCGGGGCUCAACCCCGGAGCUGCUUUGGGAACUGUAGAACUGGAGUGUCGGAGGGGUAAGCGGAAUUCCCAGUGUAGCGGUGAAAUGCGUAGAUAUUGGGAGGAACACCGGCGGCGAAGGCGGCUUACUGGACGACAACUGACGUUGAGGCUCGAAGGCGUGGGUAGCAGACAGGAUUAGAUACCCGGGUAGUCCCUGUCUCUUAUAC